CGAUGAUUCGAACAUCGAGGUUCUUCGGGUUCCGACCCGAAGCUAAGAGGGAAUCCGGUGCGACCUUCGCGUCCAUGCCGGGGCUGCCCCCGCAACUGUAAGCGGCGAGUUUCGUCCACCAUGUCACUGAGGAAGACGCCUCGGGAAGACGGACGCAAGCGCUGACCCGCAAGCCAGGAGACCUGCCCCGAUAGAUAACGUCCA
rnacentral:ncRNA from 2 species